UACAGAGGGUGCGAGCGUUGUCCGGAAUCACUGGGCGUAAAGGGCGCGUAGGCGGCGACCCAAGUCGGUGGUGAAAGCUCGCCGCUCAACGGCGAGUCGGCCACCGAUACUGGGUUGCUGGAGCACUGUAGAGGCAGAUGGAAUUCCGGGUGUAGCGGUGGAAUGCGUAGAGAUCCGGAAGAACACCGGUGGCGAAGGCGGUCUGCUGGGCAGUUGCUGACACUGAGGCGCGACAGCGUGGGGAGCAAACAGG
rnacentral:rRNA from 1 species